GUGGACUGUGUCAUUUUAAAAAGUUGACUCUGACAGAUGGGACUAUGUUCAACACUGAAUGGACGAUUUGCCCAAAGGAGAAAACAGAGGGGGUGAAGUCUCUCCAACAAAGAUAUUACAAGAAGUGAGCAGCGAGGUGAAGAGGCGCUGACCCACUUCAAUAAUGAGGAACAAUGAGAUCCAUUCAAAAGCAAGCAAGGGAAGGGAUUUGGCCAUCCCUGUGUUAGUCCUGAGGUGGACACGAGGUGUUGACCUGGCCUCCAAAUUCACUAAAUCCCAAACUCAUCAAGAAUCUAUGGGAUGCACUGGAACAAACCUGAUGCACAGAGGGCCCUCCCCACAAGCUAUAGGACCCAAAGGCCCCCACUAACAACAUACUGUUUCCAGACAUCACAGGACACCCUCAGA